rnacentral:tRNA from 1 species
GCGGGCGUGGUGAAAUUGGUAGACACGCUAGAUUUAGGUUCUAGUGCCGCGAGGCGUGGGGGUUCGAGUCCCUCCGCCCGCACCA